AGAGAGUUAUGACUUCGGGAAGAUAUGCACCUAGGAAACCGGUCAGCCCGGUUUCACAGGGCGAUUAGACACUGCUAGGGAAUGGACCUCUCGUCCACGGCCUCAGUACUGAUCAUAUUUAGACGCGGUACUAAUGUUAGCAUUAGUACCGGGUCCAUAUUUGGGGUCCCCGAGAGGCCCUUUAGUACCGGGUGGGAGCUCCACCCGGUACUAAAGCCAUCUCCGCGCGCUCCCACAUGCAUCCCUUCC
rnacentral:lncRNA from 1 species